UGCCAAGUUUUGCACAGAGCAAACAGGAUGUUUGCUUACACCUUCUCACAGCCACGUUUUGACAGCACGAAGUUGGUGGAGUUGAAGCUCCAACACAGGACCAUCUGUGAGGGCCUGGAGUCUGAGCACUGGUGGGUGCUCAGCAACGAAUUUUAUCAUUUGUUCCCGGAGCUUCCUCCUCAGCACUUCGGUACUGUGGCUGCUGUGGCCUGCAUCAAGCGCAUUGGAACAUCGA